rnacentral:rRNA from 1 species
AACGAACGCUGGCGGCAUGCCUAACACAUGCAAGUCGAACGAGACCUUCGGGUCUAGUGGCGCACGGGUGCGUAACGCGUGGGAACCUGCCCUUAGGUUCGGAAUAACUCCCCGAAAGGGGUGCUAAUACCGGAUAAUGUCUUCGGACCAAAGAUUUAUCGCCUUUGGAUGGGCCCGCGUUGGAUUAGCUAGUUGGUAGGGUAAAAGCCUACCAAGGCGACGAUCCAUAGCUGGUCUGAGAGGAUGAUCAGCCACACUGGGACUGAGACACGGCCCAGACUCCGACGGGAGGCAGCAGUGGGGAAUAUUGGACAAGGGGCGAAAGCCUGAGCCAGCAAUGCCGCGUGAGUGAUGAAGGCCUUAGGGGUGUAAAGCUCUUUUACCCGGGAUGAUAAUGACAGUACCGGGAGAAUAAGCUCCGGCUAACUCCG